rnacentral:rRNA from 1 species
AGUGAACGCUGGCGGUAGGCCUAACACAUGCAAGUCGAACGGCAGCACAGUAAGAGCUUGCUCUUACGGGUGGCGAGUGGCGGACGGGUGAGGAAUACAUCGGAAUCUACUUUUUCGUGGGGGAUAACGUAGGGAAACUUACGCUAAUACCGCAUACGACCUACGGGUGAAAGCAGGGGAUCUUCGGACCUUGCGCGAUUGAGUGAGCCGAUGUCGGAUUAGCUAGUUGGCGGGGUAAAGGCCAACCAAGGCGACGAUCCGUAGCUGGUCUGAGAGGGUGGACAGCCACACUGGAACUGAGACACGGUCCAGACUCCUGCGGGAGGCAGCAGUGGGGAAUAUUGGACAAUGGGCGCAAGCCUGAUCCAGCCAUACCGCGUGGGUGAAGAAGGCCUUCGGGUUGUAAAGCCCUUUUGUUGGGAAAGAAAAGCAGCAGGUUAAUACCCCGCUGUUCUGACGGUACCCAAAGAAUAAGCACCGGCUAACUUCGUG